rnacentral:tRNA from 1 species
GGGGUCGUAGCUCAGUGGAAGAGUGCUUGCCUAGCAUGUGUGAGGGACUGGGUUCUCAGCACCAUAUAUAAAUAAAUAAUAAAAUAAAGGUCUAAUGACUAAAAAAAAAAAAAAAGAAUAUGAAUUCUGGAGUCAAACUCAUGAUGUUCAAACCCUGAUCCCA